CACGUAGGCACCAAGCGUUAUCCGGAUUUAUUGGGCGUAAAGCGCACGUAGGCGGCUUGGCAAGUCGGAUGUGAAAUCCCUCGGCUCAACCAAGGAAGUGCAUCCGAAACUGCUGAGCUUGAGUACGAAAGAGGAUCGCGGAAUUCCCGGUGUAGAGGUGAAAUUCGUAGAUAUCGGGAGGAACACCAGUGGCGAAGGCGGCGAUCUGGGUCGACACUGACGCUGAGGUGCGAAAGCGUGGGGAGCAAACAGG
rnacentral:rRNA from 1 species